UCCUCACACCCUGGAAUUUCCAGACUCUGAUU
rnacentral:piRNA from 1 species